ensembl:lncRNA
AAACGAUGACCACGGUGUUUUGUUUCUCUGUCAAACAAGCGCUCCUUGGGAGACGGGAAUCUGUGUACUUCCAAGAAGUCCUUCCACAGGAACACUAACAGACCAAACCAAGUUCGGGCGAGUUUAUUUAUUUGUCGUCUGUAUCUUUUAAUUACAACCUUCUCGAGGGCCCAUCUUUAAGGAGAUGGCACACUGUCACUCCAACCUUCACUGCAGCUAGGAGUCAGACCAACCUCACAACACCCGUAAAAAGAGACGCACGGCGGUGUGGUCGGUCUGAGGAGGAAGUGAGCUCAUCAUGUCGCUGAUGUCACCGCCGCUCGCCCUGAGAAAUAAAAGAGCAGAGAGACAACGCUGUGAGGCUGCUACAUCACCUCACCCUGCUCCGCCCUCCUCCAGCCUCCUCCACCCACACUCCGCUUCUUUUCCACCAUAUUAGGGCAUGUGUUGG